rnacentral:rRNA from 1 species
AUACAUGCUUACAACAUAACAUUAAUGCAUUGUAUCCCAUUACAACUCCGCAACUAAGCGAUCUUGGGAUAGGGUAGUACUGGGAUGGGUGACUGCUUGGGAAGUCCUAGUAUUUUACAUG